UGACAUAUAACUAAAUAGAUGAUAGAUGAUUCUGUUUUCUAUUUAGAAAACAGUUUUUAAGAGUGUUCCAAUUUUCUAGAAAACUGAAAAAAUGUGGCUACUU